rnacentral:lncRNA from 1 species
AGUGGACAUAAACACAAUCUAAGGAUGCCAUGAAUAGACGGGAUUAUAGUUAACAUAUUAUCACAAAAGGUCAUUAGCUAGCCCACUAAUGUCUUCAUCCACUAGUUGUACUCUAAUACCCUCUCGUGCGAAUACAAUGCCCUCAAUAUCAUAGAAACACUAUUUUUGUGGGGUGUUUUACUUGAGUGGACAUAAACACCAUCUAAGGAUGCCAUGAAUAGACGGGAUUAUUGGAAACCUGGUAUCACAAAAGGUCAUUAGCUAGCCCAAUAACGUCUUCAUCCACUAGUUAUACUCUAAUACCCUCUAGUGUGAAUACAAUGCCCACAAUAUCAUAGAAACGUCAUUUGAGGUUUAAAAGGUGAUCUAUUGUUUUGAAUUCUUUAUAUUCCAACUUUUUAGCAACUGUAUGGUGGAAACCUGUUAUCACAAAAGGUCAUUAGCAGACAUUAGUGGGCUAGCUAAUGACCUUUUGUGAUAAUAUGUUAACUAUAAUCCCGUCUAUUCAUGGCAUCCUUAGAUUGUGUUUAUGUCCACUCAAGUAAAACACCACACAUCAAUAUACUUGGUUUCCAAUAAUGUCGUCUAUUCAUGGCAUCCUUAGAUUGUGUUUAUGUCCACUCAAGUAAAACACCACACAAAAAUAGUGUUUCUAUGAUAUUGUGGGCAUUGUAUUCACACUAGAGGGUAUUAGAGUACAACUAGUGGAUGAAGACGUUAUUGGGCUAGCUAAUGACCUUUCGUGAUACCAGGUUUCCAAUAAUCCCCUCUAUUCAAGGCAUACCUAAAUGGUGUUUAUGUCCACUCAAGUAAAACAUCGCACAUCAUUAUACCACAUCGUUUCUCAAAAUAAAAUAAAGACCAUGGGAAAUUUAGCCAAAUUGCACGAGAGAACUGUCCAAACAUAGGUUAAGGUUGUAAGACACCUUUUUCCACCAUACAGUUGCUAAAAAGUUGGAAUAUAAAGAAUUCAAAACAAUAGAUCACCUUUUAAACCUCAAAUGACGUUUCUAUGAUAUUGUGGGCAUUGUAUUCACACUAGAGGGUAUUAGAGUACAACUAGUGGAUGAAGACGUUAUUGGGCUAGCUAAUGACCUUUUGUGAUACCUGGUUUCCAAUAAUCCCGUCUAUUCAUGGCAUCCUUAGAUUGUGUUUAUGUCCACUCAAGUAAAACACCACACAUCAAUAUACCACAUCGUUUCUCAAAAUAAAAUAAAGACUAUGGAAAAUUUAGCCAAAUUGCGUGAGUGAACUGUCCAAACAUAGGUUAAGGUUGUAAGACAACUUUUUUCACCAUACAGUUGCUAAAAAGUUGGAAUAUAAAGAAUUCAAAACAAUAGAUCACCUUUUAAACCUCAAAUGAUGUUUCUAUGAUAUUGUGGGCAUUGUAUUCACACUAGAGGGUAUUAGAGUACAACUAGUGGAUGAAGACGUUAUUGGGCUAGCUAAUGACCUUUUGUGAUACCUGGUUUCCAAUAAUCCCGUCUAUUCAUGGCAUCCUUAGAUGGUGUUUAUGUCCACUCAAGUAAAACACCACACAAAAAUAGUGUUUCUAUGAUAUUGAGGGCAUUGUAUUCGCACGAGAGGGUAUUAGAGUACAUCUAGUGGAUGAAGACGUUAUUGGGCUAGCUAAUGACCUUUUGUGAUAACAGGUUUCCACCAUACAGUUGCUAAAAAGUUGGAAUAUAAAGAAUUCAAAACAAUAGAGCACCUUUUAAACCUCAAAUGACGUUUCUAUGAUAUCGUGGGCAUUGUAUUCACACUAGAGGGUAUUAGAGUACAACUAGUGGAUGAAGACGUUAUUGGGCUAGCUAAUGACCUUUUGUGGUACCUGGUUUCCAAUAAUCCCAUCUAUUCAUGGCAUCCUUAGAUGGUGUUUAUGUCGACUCAAGUAAAACACCACAAAAAAAUAGUGUUUCUAUGAUAUUGAGGGCAUUGUAUUCGCACGAGAGGGUAUUAGAGUACAACUAGUGGAUGAAGACAUUAUUGGGCUAGCUAAUGACCUUUUGUGAUAAUAUGUUAACUAUAAUCCCAUCUAUUCAUGGCAUCAUUAGAUUGUGUUUAUGUCCACUCAAGUAAAACACCACACAUCAAUUUGACACAUCAUUUCUCAAAAUAAAAUAAAGACCAUGGGAAAUUUAGCCAAAUUGCACGAGAGAACUGUCCAAACAUAGGUUAAGGUUGUAAGACAUCUUUUUCCACCAUACAGUUGCUAAAAUGUUGGAAUAUAAAGAAUUCAAAACAAUAGAUCACCUUUUAAACCUCAUAUGACGUUUCUAUGAUAUUGUGGGCAUUGUAUUCACACUAGAGGGUAUUAGAGUACAACUAGUGGAUGAAGACGUUAUUGGGCUAGCUAAUGACCUUUUGUGAUACCUGGUUUCCAAUAAUCCCGUCUAUUCAUGGCAUCCUUAGAUGGUGUUUAUGUCCACUCAAGUAAAACACCACACAAAAAUAGUGUUUCUACGAUAUUGAGGGCAUUGUAUUCGCACGAGAGGGUAUUAGAGUACAACUAGUGGAUGAAGACGUUAUUGGGCUAGCUAAUGACCUUUUGUGAUACCUGGUUUCCAAUAAUCCCGUCUAUUCAUGGCAUCCUUAGAUGGUGUUUAUGUCCACUCAAGUAAAACACCACACAAAAAUAGUGUUUCUAUGAUAUUGAGGGCAUUGUAUUCGCACGAGAGGGUAUUAGAGUACAACUAGUGGAUGAAGACAUUAGUGGGCUAGCUAAUGACCUGUUGUGAUAAUAUGUUAACUAUAAUCCCGUCUAUUCAUGGCAUCCUUAGAUUGUGUUUAUGUCCACUCAAGUUAAACACCACACAUCAAUAUACCACAUCGUUUCUCAAAAUAAAUUAAAGACUAUGGAAAAUUUAGCCAAAUUGCGUGAGUGAACUGUCCAAACAUAGGUUAAGGUUGUAAGACAACUUUUUUCCACCAUACAGUUGCUAAAAAGUUGGAAUAUAAAGAAUUCAAAACAAUAGAUCACUUUUAAACCUCAAAUGACGUUUCUAUGAUAUUGUGGGCAUUGUAUUCACACUAGAGGGUAUUAGAGUACAACUAGUGGAUGAAGACGUUAUUGGGCUAGCUAAUGACCUUUUGUGAUACCUGGUUUCCAAUAAUCCCGUCUAUUCAUGGCAUCCUUAGAUGGUGUUUAUGUCCACUCAAGUAAAACACCACACAAAAAUAGUGUUUCUAUGAUAUUGAGGGCAUUGUAUUCGCACGAGAGGGUAUUAGAGUACAUCUAGUGGAUGAAGACGUUAUUGGGCUAGCUAAUGACCUUUUGUGAUAACAGGUUUCCACCAUACAGUUGCUAAAAAGUUGGAAUAUAAAGAAUUCAAAACAAUAGAGCACCUUUUAAACCUCAAAUGACGUUUCUAUGAUAUCGUGGGCAUUGUAUUCACACUAGAGGGUAUUAGAGUACAACUAGUGGAUGAAGACGUUAUUGGGCUAGCUAAUGACCUUUUGUGGUACCUGGUUUCCAAUAAUCCCAUCUAUUCAUGGCAUCCUUAGAUGGUGUUUAUGUCGACUCAAGUAAAACACCACAAAAAAUAGUGUUUCUAUGAUAUUGAGGGCAUUGUAUUCGCACGAGAGGGUAUUAGAGUACAACUAGUGGAUGAAGACAUUAUUGGGCUAGCUAAUGACCUUUUGUGAUAAUAUGUUAACUAUAAUCCCAUCUAUUCAUGGCAUCCUUAGAUUGUGUUUAUGUCCACUCAAGUAAAACACCACACAUCAAUUUGACACAUCAUUUCUCAAAAUAAAAUAAAGACCAUGGGAAAUUUAGCCAAAUUGCACGAGAGAACUGUCCAAACAUAGGUUAAGGUUGUAAGACAUCUUUUUCCACCAUACAGUUGCUAAAAUGUUGGAAUAUAAAGAAUUCAAAACAAUAGAUCACCUUUUAAACCUCAUAUGACGUUUCUAUGAUAUUGUGGGCAUUGUAUUCACACUAGAGGGUAUUAGAGUACAACUAGUGGAUGAAGACGUUAUUGGGCUAGCUAAUGACCUUUUGUGAUACCUGGUUUCCAAUAAUCCCGUCUAUUCAUGGCAUCCUUAGAUGGUGUUUAUGUCCACUCAAGUAAAACACCACACAAAAAUAGUGUUUCUACGAUAUUGAGGCAUUGUAUUCGCACGAGAGGGUAUUAGAGUACAACUAGUGGAUGAAGACGUUAUUGGCUAGCUAAUGACCUUUGUGAUACCUGGUUUCCAAUAAUCCGUCUAUUCAUGGCAUCCUUAGAUGGUGUUUAUGUCACUCAAGUAAAACACACAAAAAUAGUGUUUCUAUGAUAUUGAGGGCAUUGUAUUCGCACGAGAGGGUAUUAGAGUACAACUAGUGGAUGAAGACAUUAGUGGGCUAGCUGAUGACCUUUUGUGAUAAUAUGUUAACUAUAAUCCCGUCUAUUCAUGGCAUCCUUAGAUUGUGUUUAUGUCCACUCAAGUUAAACACCACACAUCAAUAUACCACAUCGUUUCUCAAAAUAAAUUAAAGACUAUGGAAAAUUUAGCCAAAUUGCGUGAGUGAACUGUCCAAACAUAGGUUAAGGUUGUAAGACAACUUUUUUCCACCAUACAGUUGCUAAAAAGUUGGAAUAUAAAGAAUUCAAAACAAUAGAUCAACUUUUAAACCUCAAAUGACGUUUCUAUGAUAUUGUGGGCAUUGUAUUCACACUAGAGGGUAUUAGAGUACAACUAGUGGAUGAAGACGUUAUUGGGCUAGCUAAUGACCUUUUGUGAUACCUGGUUUCCAAUAAUCCCGUCUAUUCAUGGCAUCCUUAGAUGGUGUUUCUGUCCACUCAAGUAAAACACCACACAAAAAUAGUGUUUCUAUGAUAUUGAGGGCAUUGUAUUCGCACGAGAGGGUAUUAGAGUACAACUAGUGGAUGAAGACGUUAUUGGGCUAGCUAAUGACCUUUUGUGAUAACAGGUUUCCACCAUACAGUUGCUAAAAAGUUGGAAUAUAAAGAAUUCAAAACAAUAGAAACCUUUUAAACCUCAAAUGACGUUUCUAUGAUAUUGUGGGCAUUGUAUUCACACUAGAGGGUAUUAGAGUAUAACUAGUGGAUGAAGACGUUAUUGGGCUAGCUAAUGACCUUUUGUGAUACCAGGUUUCCAAUAAUCCCCUCUAUUCAAGGCAUACCUAAAUGGUGUUUAUGUCCACUCAAGUAAAACAUCGCACAUCAUUAUACCACAUCGUUUCUCAAAAUAAAAUAAAGACCAUGGGAGAUUUAGCCAAAUUGCACGAGAGAACUGUCCAAACAUAGGUUAAGGUUGUAAGACACCUUUUUCCACCAUACAGUUGCUAAAAAGUUGGAAUAUAAAGAAUUCAAAACAAUAGAUCACCUUUUAAACCUCAAAUGACGUUUCUAUGAUAUUGUGGGCAUUGUAUUCACACUAGAGGGUAUUAGAGUACAACUAGUGGAUGUAGACGUUAUUGGGCUAGCUAAUGACCUUUUGUGAUACCUGGUUUCCAAUAAUCCCGUCUAUUCAUGGCAUCCUUAGAUGGUGUUUAUGUCCACUCAAGUAAAACACCACACAAAAAUAGUGUUUCUAUGAUAUUGAGGGCAUUGUAUUCGCACGAGAGGGUAUUAGAGUACAACUAGUGGAUGAAGACAUUAGUGGGCUAGCUAAUGACCUUUUGUGAUAAUAUGUUAACUAUAAUCCCGUCUAUUCAUGGCAUCCUUAGAUUGUGUUUAUGUCCACUCAAGUAAAACACCACACAUCAAUAUACCACAUCGUUUCUCAAAAUAAAAUAAAGACUAUGGAAAAUUUAGCCAAAUUGCGUGAGUGAACUGUCCAAACAUAGGUUAAGGUUGUAAGACAACUUUUUUCCACCAUACAGUUGCUAAAAAGUUGGAAUAUAAAGAAUUCAAAACAAUAGAUCACCUUUUAAACCUCAAAUGACGUUUCUAUGAUAUUGUGGGCAUUGUAUUCACACUAGAGGGUAUUAGAGUACAACUAGUGGAUGAAGACGCUAUUGGGCUAGCUAAUGACCUUUUGUGAUACCUGGUUUCCAAUAAUCCCGUCUAUUCAUGGCAUCCUUAGAUGGUGUUUAUGUCCACUCAAGUAAAACACCACACAAAAAUAGUGUUUCUAUGAUAUUGAGGGCAUUGUAUUCGCACGAGAGGGUAUUAGAGUACAACUAGUGGAUGAAGACAUUAGUGGGCUAGCUAAUGACCUUUUGUGAUAAUAUGUUAACUAUAAUCCCGUCUAUUCAUGGCAUCCUUAGAUUGUGUUUAUGUCCACUCAAGUAAAACACCACACAUCAAUAUACCACAUCGUUUCUCAAAAUAAAAUAAAGACUAUGGAAAAUUUAGCCAAAUUGCGUGAGUGAACUGUCCAAACAUAGGUUAAGGUUGUAAGACAACUUUUUUCCACCAUACAGUUGCUAAAAAGUUGGAAUAUAAAGAAUUCAAAACAAUAGAUCACCUUUUAAACCUCAAAUGACAUUUCUAUGAUAUUGUGGGCAUUGUAUUCACACUAGAGGGUAUUAGAGUACAACUAGUGGAUGAAGACGUUAUUGGGCUAGCUAAUGACCUUUUGUGAUACCUGGUUUCCAAUAUUCCCGUCUAUUCAUGGCAUCCUUAGAUGGUGUUUAUGUCCACUCAAGUAAAACACCACACAAAAAUAGUGUUUCUAUGAUAUUGAGGGCAUUGUAUUCGCACGAGAGGGUAUUAGAGUACAACUAUGGAUGAAGACAUUAGUGGGCUAGCUAAUGACCUUUUGUGAUAAUAUGUUAACUAUAAUCCCGUCUAUUCAUGGCAUCCUUAGAUUGUGUUUAUGUCCACUCAAGUAAAACACCACACAUCAAUAUACCACAUCGUUUCUCAAAAUAAAAUAAAGACUAUGGAAAUUUAGCCAAAUUGCGUGAGUGAACUGUCCAAACAUAGGUUAAGGUUGUAAGACAACUUUUUUCCACCAUACAGUUGCUAAAAAGUUGGAAUAUAAAGAAUUCAAAACAAUAGAUCACCUUUUAAACCUCAAAUGACGUUUCUAUGAUAUUGUGGGCAUUGUAUUCACACUAGAGGGUAUUAGAGUACAACUAGUGGAUGAAGACGUUAUUGGGCUAGCUAAUGACCUUUUGUGAUACCUGGUUUCCAAUAAUCCCGUCUAUUCAUGGCAUCCUAAUGGUGUUUAUGUCCACUCAAGUAAAACACCACACAAAAAUAGUGUUUCUAUGAUAUUGAGGGCAUUGUAUUCGCACGAGAGGGUAUUAGAGUACAACUAGUGGAUGAAGACUUAUUGGGCUAGCUAAUGACCUUUUGUGAUAACAGUUUCACCAUACAGUUGCUAAAAAGUUGGAAUAUAAAGAAUUCAAAACAAUAGAUCACUUUUAAACCUCAAAUGACGUUUCUAUGAUAUUGUGGGCAUUGUAUUCCACAGAGGGUAUUAGAGUAAACUAGUGGAUGAAGACUUAUUGGGCUAGCUAAUGACCUUUUGUGAUACAGGUUUCCAAUAAUCCCUCUAUUCAAGGCAUACCUAAAUGGUGUUUAUGUCCACUCAAGUAAAACAUCGCACAUCAUUAUACCACAUCGUUUCUCAAAAUAAAACAAAGACCAUGGGAAAUUUAGCCAAAUUGCAUGAGAGAACUGUCCAAACAUAGGUUAAGGUUGUAAGACACCUUUUUCCACCAUACAGUUGCUAAAAAGUUGGAAUAUAAAGAAUUCAAAACAAUAGAUCACCUUUUAAACCUCAAAUGACGUUUCUAUGAUAUUGUGGGCAUUGUAUUCACACUAGAGGGUAUUAGAGUAUAACUAGUGGAUGAAGACGUUAUUGGGCUAGCUAAUGACCUUUUGUGAUACCUGGUUUCCAAUAAUCCCGUCUAUUCAUGGCAUCCUUAGAUGGUGUUUAUGUCCACUCAAGUAAAACACCACACAAAAAUAGUGUUUCUAUGAUAUUGAGGGCAUUGUAUUCGCACGAGAGGGUAUUAGAGUACAACUAGUGGAUGAAGACAUUAGUGGGCUAGCUAAUGACCUUUUGUGAUAAUAUGUUAACUAUAAUCCCGUCUAUUCAUGGCAUCCUUAGAUUGUGUUUAUGUCCACUCAAGUAAAACACCACACAUCAAUAUACCACAUCGUUUCUCAAAAUAAAAUAAAGACUAUGGAAAAUUUAGCCAAAUUGCGUGAGUGAACUGUCCAAACAUAGGUUAAGGUUGUAAGACAACUUUUUUCCACCAUACAGUUGCUAAAAAGUUGGAAUAUAAAGAAUUCAAAACAAUAGAUCACCUUUUAAACCUCAAAUGACGUUUCUAUGAUAUUGUGGGCAUUGUAUUCACACUAGAGGGUAUUAGAGUACAACUAGUGGAUGAAGACGUUAUUGGGCUAGCUAAUGACCUUUUGUGAUACCUGGUUUCCAAUAAUCCCGUCUAUUCAUGGCAUCCUUAGAUGGUGUUUAUGUCCACUCAAGUAAAACACCACACAAAAAUAGUGUUUCUAUGAUAUUGAGGGCAUUGUAUUCGCACGAGAGGGUAUUAGAGUACAACUAGUGGAUGAAGACGUUAUUGGGCUAGCUAAUGACCUUUUGUGAUAACAGGUUUCCACCAUACAGUUGCUAAAAAGUUGGAAUAUAAAGAAUUCAAAACAAUAGAUCACCUUUUAAACCUCAAAUGACGUUUCUAUGAUAUUGUGGGCAUUGUAUUCACACUAGAGGGUAUUAGAGUAUAACUAGUGGAUGAAGACGUUAUUGGGCUAGCUAAUGACCUUUUGUGAUACCAGGUUUCCAAUAAUCCCCUCUAUUCAAGGCAUACCUAAAUGGUGUUUAUGUCCACUCAAGUAAAACAUCGCACAUCAUUAUACCACAUCGUUUCUCAAAAUAAAAUAAAGACCAUGGGAAAUUUAGCCAAAUUGCACGAGAGAACUGUCCAAACAUAGGUUAAGGUUGUAAGACACCUUUUUCCACCAUACAGUUGCUAAAAAGUUGGAAUAUAAAGAAUUCAAAACAAUAGAUCACCUUUUAAACCUCAAAUGACGUUUCUAUGAUAUUGUGGGCAUUGUAUUCACACUAGAGGGUAUUAGAGUACAACUAGUGGAUGAAGACGUUAUUGGGCUAGCUAAUGACCUUUUGUGAUACCUGGUUUCCAAUAAUCCCGUCUAUUCAUGGCAUCCUUAGAUGGUGUUUAUGUCCACUCAAGUAAAACACCACACAAAAAUAGUGUUCUAUGAUAUUGAGGGCAUUGUAUUCGCACGAGAGGGUAUUAGAGUACAACUAGUGGAUGAAGACAUUAUGGCUAGCUAAUGACCUUUUGUGAUAAUAUGUUAACUAUAAUCCGUCUAUUCAUGGCAUCCUUAGAUUGUGUUUAUGUCCACUCAAGUAAAACACCACACAUCAAUAUACCACAUCGUUUCUCAAAAUAAAAUAAAGACUAUGGAAAAUUUAGCCAAAUUGCGUGAGUGAACUGUCCAAACAUAGGUUAAGGUUGUAAGACAACUUUUUUCCACCAUACAGUUGCUAAAAAGUUGGAAUAUAAAGAAUUCAAAACAAUAGAUCACCUUUUAAACCUCAAAUGACGUUUCUAUGAUAUUGUGGGCAUUGUAUUCACACUAGAGGGUAUUAGAGUACAACUAGUGGAUGAAGACGUUAUUGGGCUAGCUAAUGACCUUUUGUGAUACCUGGUUUCCAAUAAUCCCGUCUAUUCAUGGCAUCUUUAGAUGGUGUUUAUGUCCACUCAAGUAAAACACCACACAAAAAUAGUGUUUCUAUGAUAUUGAGGGCAUUGUAUUCGCACGAGAGGGUAUUAGAGUACAACUAGUGGAUGAAGACGUUAUUGGGCUAGCUAAUGACCUUUUGUGAUAACAGGUUUCCACCAUACAGUUGCUAAAAAGUUGGAAUAUAAAGAAUUCAAAACAAUAGAUCACCUUUUAAACCUCAAAUGACGUUUCUAUGAUAUUGUGGCAUUGUAUUCACACUAGAGGGUAUUAGAGUAUAACUAGUGGAUGAAGACGUUAUUGGGCUAGCUAAUGACCUUUUGUGAUACCAGGUUUCCAAUAAUCCCCUCUAUUCAAGGCAUACCUAAAUGGUGUUUAUGUCCACUCAAGUAAAACAUCGCACAUCAUUAUACCACAUCGUUUCUCAAAAUAAAAUAAAGACCAUGGGAAAUUUAGCCAAAUUGCAUGAGAGAACUGUCCAAACAUAGGUUAAGGUUGUAAGACACCUUUUUCCACCAUACAGUUGCUAAAAAGUUGGAAUAUAAAGAAUUCAAAACAAUAGAUCACCUUUUAAACCUCAAAUGACGUUUCUAUGAUAUUGUGGGCAUUGUAUUCACACUAGAGGGUAUUAGAGUACAACUAGUGGAUGAAGACGUUAUUGGGCUAGCUAAUGACCUUUUGUGAUACCUGGUUUCCAAUAAUCCCGUCUAUUCAUGGCAUCCUUAGAUGGUGUUUAUGUCCACUCAAGUAAAACACCACACAAAAAUAGUGUUUCUAUGAUAUUGAGGGCAUUGUAUUCGCACGAGAGGGUAUUAGAGUACAACUAGUGGAUGAAGACAUUAGUGGGCUAGCUAAUGACCUUUUGUGAUAAUAUGUUAACUAUAAUCCCGUCUAUUCAUGGCAUCCUUAGAUUGUGUUUAUGUCCACUCAAGUAAAACACCACACAUCAAUAUACCACAUCGUUUCUCAAAAUAAAAUAAAGACUAUGGAAAAUUUAGCCAAAUUGCGUGAGUGAACUGUCCAAACAUAGGUUAAGGUUGUAAGACAACUUUUUUCCACCAUACAGUUGCUAAAAAGUUGGAAUAUAAAGAAUUCAAAACAAUAGAUCACCUUUUAAACCUCAAAUGACGUUUCUAUGAUAUUGUGGGCAUUGUAUUCACACUAGAGGGUAUUAGAGUACAACUAGUGGAUGAAGACGUUAUUGGGCUAGCUAAUGACCUUUUGUGAUACCUGGUUUCCAAUAAUCCCGUCUAUUCAUGGCAUCCUUAGAUGGUGUUUAUGUCCACUCAAGUAAAACACCACACAAAAAUAGUGUUUCUAUGAUAUUGAGGGCAUUGUAUUCGCACGAGAGGGUAUUAGAGUACAACUAGUGGAUGAAGACGUUAUUGGGCUAGCUAAUGACCUUUUGUGAUAACAGGUUUCCACCAUACAGUUGCUAAAAAGUUGGAAUAUAAAGAAUUCAAAACAAUAGAUCACCUUUUAAACCUCAAAUGACGUUUCUAUGAUAUUGUGGGCAUUGUAUUCACACUAGAGGGUAUUAGAGUAUAACUAGUGGAUGAAGACGUUAUUGGGCUAGCUAAUGACCUUUUGUGAUACCAGGUUUCCAAUAAUCCCUCUAUUCAAGGCAUACCUAAAUGGUGUUUAUGUCCACUCAAGUAAAACAUCGCACAUCAUUAUACCACAUCGUUUCUCAAAAUAAAAUAAAGACCAUGGGAAAUUUAGCCAAAUUGCACGAGAGAACUGUCCAAACAUAGGUUAAGGUUGUAAGACACCUUUUUCCACCAUACAGUUGCUAAAAAGUUGGAAUAUAAAGAAUUCAAAACAAUAGAUCACCUUUUAAACCUCAAAUGACGUUUCUAUGAUAUUGUGGGCAUUGUAUUCACACUAGAGGGUAUUAGAGUACAACUAGUGGAUGAAGACGUUAUUGGGCUAGCUAAUGACCUUUUGUGAUACCUGGUUUCCAAUAAUCCCGUCUAUUCAUGGCAUCCUUAGAUGGUGUUUAUGUCCACUCAAGUAAAACACCACACAAAAUAGUGUUUCUAUGAUAUUGAGGGCAUUGUAUUCGCACGAGAGGGUAUUAGAGUACAACUAGUGGAUGAAGACAUUAGUGGGCUAGCUAAUGACCUUUUGUGAUAAUAUGUUAACUAUAAUCCCGUCUAUUCAUGGCAUCCUUAGAUUGUGUUUAUGUCCACUCAAGUAAAACACCACACAUCAAUAUACCACAUCGUUUCUCAAAAUAAAAUAAAGACUAUGGAAAAUUUAGCCAAAUUGCGUGAGUGAACUGUCCAAACAUAGGUUAAGGUUGUAAGACAACUUUUUUCCACCAUACAGUUGCUAAAAAGUUGGAAUAUAAAGAAUUCAAAACAAUAGAUCACCUUUUAAACCUCAAAUGACGUUUCUAUGAUAUUGUGGGCAUUGUAUUCACACUAGAGGGUAUUAGAGUACAACUAGUGGAUGAAGACGUUAUUGGGCUAGCUAAUGACCUUUUGUGAUACCUGGUUUCCAAUAAUCCCGUCUAUUCAUGGCAUCCUUAGAUGGUGUUUAUGUCCACUCAAGUAAAACACCACACAAAAAUAGUGUUUCUAUGAUAUUGAGGGCAUUGUAUUCGCACGAGAGGGUAUUAGAGUACAACUAGUGGAUGAAGACAUUAGUGGGCUAGCUAAUGACCUUUUGUGAUAAUAUGUUAACUAUAAUCCCGUCUAUUCAUGGCAUCCUUAGAUUGUGUUUAUGUCCACUCAAGUAAAACACCACACAUCAAUAUACCACAUCGUUUCUCAAAAUAAAAUAAAGACUAUGGAAAAUUUAGCCAAAUUGCGUGAGUGAACUGUCCAAACAUAGGUUAAGGUUGUAAGACAACUUUUUUCCACCAUACAGUUGCUAAAAAGUUGGAAUAUAAAGAAUUCAAAACAAUAGAUCACCUUUUAAACCUCAAAUGACGUUUCUAUGAUAUUGUGGGCAUUGUAUUCACACUAGAGGGUAUUAGAGUACAACUAGUGGAUGAAGACGUUAUUGGGCUAGCUAAUGACCUUUUGUGAUACCUGGUUUCCAAUAAUCCCGUCUAUUCAUGGCAUCCUUAGAUGGUGUUUAUGUCCACUCAAGUAAAACACCACACAAAAUAGUGUUUCUAUGAUAUUGAGGGCAUUGUAUUCGCACGAGAGGGUAUUAGAGUACAACUAGUGGAUGAAGACAUUAGUGGGCUAGCUAAUGACCUUUUGUGAUAAUAUGUUAACUAUAAUCCCGUCUAUUCAUGGCAUCCUUAGAUUGUGUUUAUGUCCACUCAAGUAAAACACCACACAUCAAUAUACCACAUCGUUUCUCAAAAUAAAAUAAAGACUAUGGAAAAUUUAGCCAAAUUGCGUGAGUGAACUGUCCAAACAUAGGUUAAGGUUGUAAGACAACUUUUUUCCACCAUACAGUUGCUAAAAAGUUGGAAUAUAAAGAAUUCAAAACAAUAGAUCACCUUUUAAACCUCAAAUGACGUUUCUAUGAUAUUGAGGGCAUUGUAUUCACACUAGAGGGUAUUAGAGUACAACUAGUGGAUGAAGACGUUAUUGGGCUAGCUAAUGACCUUUUGUGAUACCUGGUUUCCAAUAAUCCCGUCUAUUCAUGGCAUCCUUAGAUGGUGUUUAUGUCCACUCAAGUAAAACACCACACAAAAAUAGUGUUUCUAUGAUAUUGAGGGCAUUGUAUUCGCACGAGAGGGUAUUAGAGUACAACUAGUGGAUGAAGACAUUAGUGGGCUAGCUAAUGACCUUUUGUGAUAAUAUGUUAACUAUAAUCCCGUCUAUUCAUGGCAUCCUUAGAUUGUGUCUAUGUCCACUCAAGUAAAACACCACACAUCAAUAUACCACAUCGUUUCUCAAAAUAAAAUAAAGACUAUGGAAAAUUUAGCCAAAUUGCAUGAGUGAACUGUCCAAACAUAGGUUAAGGUUGUAAGACAACUUUUUUCCACCAUACAGUUGCUAAAAAGUUGGAAUGUAAAGAAUUCAAAACAAUAGAUCACCUUUUAAACCUCAAAUGACGUUUCUAUGAUAUUGUGGGCAUUGUAUUCACACUAGAGGGUAUUAGAGUACAACUAGUGGAUGAAGACGUUAUUGGGCUAGCUAAUGACCUUUUGUGAUACCUGGUUUCCAAUAAUCCCGUCUAUUCAUGGCAUCCUUAGAUGGUGUUUAUGUCCACUCAAGUAAAACACCACACAAAAAUAGUGUUUCUAUGAUAUUGAGGGCAUUGUAUUCGCACGAGAGGGUAUUAGAGUACAACUAGUGGAUGAAGACGUUAUUGGGCUAGCUAAUGACCUUUUGUGAUAACAGGUUUCCACCAUACAGUUGCUAAAAAGUUGGAAUAUAAAGAAUUCAAAACAAUAGAUCACCUUUUAAACCUCAAAUGACGUUUUUAUGAUAUUGUGGGCAUUGUGUAACACCAUAAAAGCCAUCAAUUAAAAUAAUAAAUUUAGAUAUUAUAUUAAUUAGGAUAAUAAUUUUUUUUUAGUGUUUAAUUGUUCAUUUGCAUCGUUUUCUUUGCAUGCGCUUGAUUGAUUAUCGGAUGAUUGUUGUUAAUUUCCUUUUAAAAAGAAAUCCUAGUAAUUAAACAAUAAUUAAAAAAUAUAGUAAUCAUUAGUCUAAAAUCAAGUACUCCAUUUAUAAAUAUUUUUGGUAAUUUUUUUAUGAUUUUUAGAGUUCUUUAAAAAUGAAUUUCGGAAUUGAAAAAAAAAACUAAAACCAUCCGGCCGGCCCACCAGGGCCCAUGCCAAACCCUAGCUCCCUAAGCACCACGCGCGCCCCCUGCUGAACUUUCCCAGCCGCCGCCGCCCCUGCAAGUUCCCUCUCUCUCCUCUAUUCUCUCUCUCCCUUCUCUCCUCUCUCUCUCCCAAGCACGCCGCGCCCUCUGCCUCCUCCCAGCCGCGCGCGCGCAGCCGCCCAGGCGCCUGCCACCCGAGCCGGCCAAGCCGCUGAAGCUCCCUGCCGCGACGCUUGCGCGCGAGCUGCCGCGCCGACCCGCCCAGCCCGCGUUCAACCACGCCGCACGCUCGGCCGUGACUCGACCGACCGCCGCGACGACCCAAGCCGACUGCCCGUUGCUGAAACCGCCGUCCGUUCGUUUAUGCGCGUGGUUAAUUCAUCGUGUUAAUGAGAUUGAUUCUUCCGUUUCUUCCUCCUCCCAUUAUUUCUCUCCUUGAAACCGACGCCAUUAAGCAGUGUAAUGGAGUUAAACGCCGACCGUUCCCUCCCUGGCCGACCCUCCCUCUCCUCUCCCUUCUCUAUAAAUUGAACGCAGAGCUCUCUCUCCAUUCUUCCCUACCCGAGCUCGCCCCAUCUUUCUAGCUCUCCUCGCUCACCAGUACACUGCUCGACGUUGCCGUUCGUUACCGUUCGUCGUCGGAGUUCGCCGCUCGUUGCCGGAGCCCGUGGAGUUCGCCGGAGUGUGCCGUUCGUCGCCGGAGUUCACCGGAGCCACGUACUCGCUGUCCGUAGUCAAGCCCCGCUCUCCGUUCGGUCGAAACCCGUCGAUCCAUCCCCGUCACACGCACGAACCCGAGGUUGAUGACGACCCAAAUUUAUUUUAUGUAUUUUAUAAAGUGCUUUCGAUUCGAUUCAUGUGUUGUAUAGUUUGUUUGUUGUAUGAACACAUGUGAGUCGCGACAUUAUGUAUAUGUGUAUGAGCGUUAUGGAAUUGUUUAGUAGUUUCAAGCGAUUAUUCGGAUACCGUGUUAUUCCAUGUUAAUCGAUGCGUUGAUUUUGGUUUAGAGAAAUAUGACGUAGAUUUAAUAGUCACACGUUGGUGAUAAAAAUACUAGAUAAGAAUUUAUAGUCAAUUUUGGUCACGAUAAAUUCUAGAAACUAUUUGGAGAAUUAUAGGUGCAUUUUUGAUGGAUUAGAAAAUGGUAUAGAACUCAUGUCAUUUGAUUAAUAUAGGAUUUUAGAUGAUUUAUCUAAUUAUUUUAUUAGCAUAUUUUUUUAUAAAGAAAGGAGAAAAUAUCAUUGGUAGAUGGCAAAAUAGGUUUUUGCUAGUCAAAUAAACAUGUUCACAGAUUUAGAACUUAAAAUUGUUAGAGUACUAAUUUAUGUCAAAUAACCUCGCUUGUGUUAGAAAAUAUUCAAUUAGUAGUUUAUGUAGAUUUUUAGAAUAUUAAUAUUAUUAAAUUCAUUCUUGCUAUACUAACUAAUUUGAGUUAGAAGGAAUAAAAGGUAUUAAUUUAUUUAUUAGUGUUAAAAGACAAUAAAUAUUAUUUAUUUUUAUUAAUGAUGUUAAAAUAUAUUUAAACUAUAUUUAUUACACCACUCAUAAAUUCACCAUUAGGAUUCACAUUAAUGGCUAUAAUUGAAUUAAUAAGUACUUACGCGAUUAGUACGUAAUUAAGAUGUGAUUAGUGCAACGUGUUAAUGUGCAUGUAAUGGUGUAUGUUUAUGAAAUGGUGCAUGUUUAUUUAUUUAUGUAUGUUUUAUUUUUGUAUGUACGAUAUGCGACUCUAUUAGAAGCCGAUUGUGCGGUAGGCAAUUCGAAUACGUUCGAGGACGAUCCGCAAGACGCUUUUGAGCAAGGCAAGUGGAUUCUCCCUCUGCAUACUCUUUUUGUACCCAGUCAUUGCAUUUAAUAAUGUUUACUUUUGAUAUACUGUAUAAUUUGAUGGGUUUCACCUAAUUAAGGAUUUCCUAGAUUUACUACCUGUAUUCCUUGUUUAACCUGGGAAAUAAUUAAGCUGUGCAAGAUUUAUGCUACCGCUCAACUUAAUGAUUUCUUAAUGUCACUCAUUAAUUGGUUUUAAUGUUCCAAAGAUUUAAUUGGCAAUUAUGGCAUUAACCCGAUGGUUAAAGAUAACUUUAUUACAAAUUAAUUGGAACAUGGAGUGACCACCCAGGAUAACAGUGCAACCACGAGUGCUAUCAUGGCUCUGGCUUUGGUAAAUAGCUCUAUAUGCUUAGUGCCUAGCAACCUUACCUGAAAGAUGGGCAAGAGGGGGAGCGGUAGGUGCUGGCAGCCCACGUUAACAUGGGGUCGUAUUCUUGGCUAAGGUACUUCACCCAGGGGGCCACCACCAUCGUCUUUAGAAACCUUAGCGGGUUGCUUCGUAUUAAGCGUAUUUUGUGAAAACCUCAUAAUGGAUCCCUAGCCAUUCACCUCGGCAGUGUUUAAGGGUCCGAUCAACCCGGGCUAGAUGGGAUACAUGGCUUGUGGGUAAAGUUGUACCACCUCUGCAGAGUGUAAAACUGAUAUAUCAGCCGUGCUCCCGGUUAUGAGCGACCUGGACUCCUCACAUGAUAAUUGAACUUGAAGAUGUUAAAUUGAGAUCCGAUGAUCUGCCAAUAAUUUGCUUAAGUGGUUUCACUUAAGUGUUUUUGUUAUACUCAUAUUCCUUUGUUUUAAUGGGAUAUAUGGGAUUCACACUUAUUAGUAAGACAGGUGUUGUUAAUAAAAUGUUGACCAAUUAAAAUGCUUACUGCUCAACCUUAGCCUCACCUUGUUAUACUUGCAUUUGUUUUUCCCCCACUUGCUGAGCCCCGACCAUAAGUGAGCUCACCCUUGCUUAAUUUUGAUCAGAGGGUGAUGCUGGAGACUUUGAUGGAGAUUUUAUCAACGACGAUGAUUUCUAGGUCUAACGAUGCGCCGGUCAUCUUCCUGUGGGAGAUUGCCCAGUUGUUUAUUUCCGCUUACUUUGAUGUGAUACUUGUUCAAGAUACAAUGAUGUAGAUGAUGUAAUAAAGUAUUAUACUCUCUCUUUACGCCUUUAUUGCAUUGUCUUUUGAUAUAUUACACUUGUGACGUCAACAUAUGUGUGAAAAUGGAUCCUGGCACACAUAUGGUAUGCGCUCGGUUCUACCCCCUGGAACCGGGUGUGACAGAAGUGGUAUCAAAGCUAUGCUGACCCUAGGUCGUUAGAUUAGUUAGAAAUGGAAAGCCUAGUUGUUCAAAACUUGCUAAUUUCAUUCCUAUAAAUUCCUUUAUCAGUCUUACCUCUUUGAAAUUCAACUGAGUUGACACUUUUCUUGUAGAUGGUUCGCACUCUUCAAACUACCCGCGUCAACACCAGCUACGCCCCUCAGCCCCGGCAGAUCCCGGUCUACCCAGUGGUAGUCGAGGAAGCUCCAGCGAAUCUCCCUUCCGUCCAAGUGGAGAACGUGAUCAACCUGGAGGACAGCUCGGAGGAGCAGCUGCCGACCCCCACCCCGUUGGCUGAGUCCCUGGCCUUCGCAGCUGGGUCAUCGACGUUAGCAUCGUCGGCACCAGCCUUUCAAGCACCUGCACCUGGAGGCGACGACCCCGACGACUCCGGAGACGGCGAUGACGAGGAUGACGACGACGACGAUGGAGAGGAUGAGCACGUCAACCAGGAAGCUGACUAUGCCCAGCAGGACCACUUCAUGGGGAUUGGUCCAGUUGUCGAACAUUACACAUCAAUGUUCGAGACAGGACACUUCCCCAACCUGCUGCAAGCAGUGCUGCACGAGCUAGGAGCCUACGUCCGCCCCCUGUACGAGACGAGGCGAGUGAGCGAGCCUCCCCGGGCUUGCUAUUACAUCACUCGCAUCCACGUCAGGGUAAUGGAUGCAGGUGACAGGGGAUUCAGGACUCUGUCUGCUCACGAGUCCCUGAUACCGCUGUCCACCUACGCUGCCUCGGUCAACGAUGCUGCCCGUCGGACCCUGUGGUCGCUCAGCCACACCUACCGGCAGCAGCUGCAGAACACAAGGUUCAGGCAUCUUCCUCAGCGUCUGCGUGGAGAAAGCCAGACCAACAUCGUCCCAGGAGAAGCCGGUGAGGAUCGCCUCAACACCCUAGCUGGUGUAGUGGCCGGUCUCAACAUCGACCUGGACAGUGCCACUCUGGACCUCUACAGUGUGCACUUGGAGCUGGAGAAUGCCCACGCCAGGAUUGCAGCCCUGGAAGCCCAACUGCAAGGACUGGAUCCGUCAGAAGCUCAGGUCCCCGUCGUGGCGCUGUCUCCUCCCCGCAAGAGGCUGCCGUAUGGAGAGCCCGGAUCAGUCACUAGGCUGCUUUAGGAGUUUUGAGUCAUGAUGUAAUAAGUUAUACUUCGCGUUAGACGAUGAUACUCUCUUUAUGUUAUCAUAUUAAUAAAUAUCAACCAUGUGAUGGUGAUUGAUUGAAAUGUUUGAUUUGGAUCUUUGUUUGAGUGCAAUGGUCUUAUGGAAUGAUGGCCAUAAGAACAUAUAAAUUUUUUAAAACUUAAGUCAUUUCCCCUCUAGAAUCUUUCUACUCUUCUCUUCUCUAAGAUGUUCACUUUCUAACCAAUCAGAUGGUGAACCAACGUCAAGGACCUAACAAAUGAAACCAGCGUGGACAACAAGCACCUCCACCACCACCACCUAAUCCCAACAUGGAGCAGUUCAUCGCCGCCCAAAUGCAGAUUCUGCAAGGACUCACUGUGGCUGUUCAGCAAUUACAACAGAACCAACAGAAUCAGCAACCCCAGCAGCAACAGUAUGCACCCCCGGCCAGAGAUAAGAACCGUGACUUCAUGAGUCAUCACCCGCCGACAUUCUCUCAUGCGGUUGAUCCCCUGGAUGCCGAUGACUGGCUCAAAGUCAUUGGGAAGAAGCUGUACAUCACUCAGUGCAACGACCGAGAGAAGGUCUUGUACGCCUCGGGAAGACUCGAGGGAGCUGCGUCCGAUUGGUGGGAUGCCUUCACAGCGGCACAUCCCAACGCAGAUACCAUAACCUGGCAGGAGUUCCAAGAGAACUUCCACGCUCAUCACAUCCCCUCUGGAAUUAUAAAGCUAAAGAAGAAGGAGUUCCUUUCCCUUACUCAAGGGAAUAUGUCUGUCAGUGAGUAUCGUGAUCGCUUCACUCAGCUUUCACGCUACGCACCAGAAGAAGUGGACACUAAUGAGAAGCGCCAAGAGCGUUUCCUGGAAGGGUUGAUUGGACCUCUGAACUAUCAACUUCAGAGUCACACUUUUCCCAACUUCCAGACACUGCUAAACAAGGCAAUUGGCCUUGAGAGCAAAAGAAAGGAGCUAUCUGACCAUAAGAGAAAAUUCCAAGGUCAGUCCAGCAGGAACACCCGGCCAAACAAUGCUCAAGGUUCGCAGUUCCGCUCUGGAAAUCAGGGUGGAAAUAAUUAUCAGGUGCAACGCUCUGGACAGCAAAGCCAGAGAAAUAAUCAGAAUCAGAAUCAGAAUCAACAAAGGAGCAACCCCCAGACCAACCAGAGGUCUGGUGGAAAUUCACAGAACCGGCAAGGUGGCACCAACAACACGCAGGCCAGAAACAACGCACCUGUCCAACCCAAUGGAUGUUUCAAGUGCGGUGAGCUAGGCCACUAUGCCAACAACUGCCCAAGGCGCAACCAACAGACACCUCAGAAAAGCAGUACUCAGAGGAAUGAUCAGAACACCCCCGCUCGUGGAUCUGCUCAGAUUAAGACUCCACAGAAUCAGAGCCGAGGAAGGGUCAAUCACGUCACUGUGGAAUCAGUGCCUGAGGAUGCCGACAUAGUGUAUGGUAUGUUCCUUGUUAACUCCAUACCUGCAUCAGUUUUAUUUGACUCUGGAGCAUCACAUUCAUUUAUAACUGAGUCAUUCGUGGAAAAACAUAACAUACCUAAGUACCCUCUGAAGAGGAUAUUACACAUUAGUUCACCGGGAGGUGACAUGAAGGCCACACACUCAUGCCCUCAUGUUAAUAUCAAGAUUCAAGGAAUAGAUUUUACAGUUGACCCAGUGGUCCUAGGAUCCAACGGGAUUGAUGUGAUUCUUGGAUGCAACUGGUUGAAAAGUUGUGAUGGAGUGAUACGGUGUGCCAAUGGAACAAUUAUGUUGACAAGUCCUCAAGGUGAAAGAAUCCAAGUUAACAUAGACAAGUCAACAGAUGAAAAAGGGAAGACAGUGAUCAAUCACUUGGAAGAAAAGCCCUUGGAAAAUAUCAAAGUAGUGUGCGAAUACCCAGACGUAUUUCCGGAGGAAUUGCCAGGUAUGCCACCUGACCGUGAUAUAGAGUUUUCUAUUGAAUUAGUACCCGGAACCGCACCUAUCUCGAAAAGACCAUAUAGAAUGGAUGUUAAAGAUUUAGUAGAAUUGAAGAAACAAAUAGAAGAAUUACUAGAAAAAGGUUUCAUUCGCCCAAGUUCAUCCCCUUGGGGAGCCCCAGUGCUAUUUGUGAACAAGAAGGAUGGUUCGAGGAGAAUGUGUGUGGAUUAUAGAAGUUUGAAUGAAGUAACCAUCAAGAAUAAAUACCCGCUGCCUCGGAUUGAAGAUUUAUUCGAUCAAAUGAAGGGAGCUAAGAUAUUCUCGAAGAUAGAUCUGAGAUCGGGAUAUCAUCAGUUAAAGAUUCGAGCAGAAGAUGUACCGAAGACAGCCUUCACGACGAGAUAUGGAUUAUAUGAGUUUUUGGUCAUGUCGUUUGGACUGACUAAUGCACCAGCAUACUUUAUGAACUUGAUGAAUAAAGUAUUCAUGGAAUAUCUGGAUCAGUUUGUGGUCGUAUUCAUUGACGACAUACUGAUAUAUUCUCCGAAUGAAGAAGCACACGAAGAUCAUCUAAGGCUAGUCCUACAAAAGCUUCGUGACAACCAAUUGUACGCAAAAUUCUCGAAGUGUGAUUUUUGGUUGAAAGAAAUUGCUUUCUUAGGGCAUAUUGUUACCGAUGGUGGAAUUAAAGUGGACCCAGGAAAGAUAAGUGAGAUACUGAAUUGGAAGCAACCAAAGGAUGCGUCCAAGAUCAGAAGUUUUCUUGGAUUGGCAGGAUACUAUAGAAGAUUUAUUGAAGGUUUUUCCAAGUUAGUGAAACCUCUUACCUCACUACUGGAGAAAGGUAAAGAGUUCAAGUGGGAUGAAGCUUGCCAGAAUUGUUUUGAAGAACUCAAGAAAAGAUUAACCACUGCACCAAUAUUGGUAAUGCCAGACAUCCACAAGGGAUUUGAUGUGUAUUGCGAUGCAUCACACCUUGGACGUGGAUGUGUGCUAAUGCAAGAAGGAAAAGUGAUAGCUUAUGCUUCAAGACAGCUGAGGAAGCAUGAGAAGAAUUAUCCUACGCAUGAUUUGGAACUAGCUGCCGUAGUGCAUGCUUUGAAGAUUUGGAGGCACUAUAUGAUUGGAAACAAGUGCAAAAUCUUCACGGAUCAUAAAAGCUUGAAAUAUAUAUUCACUCAGAAAGAACUCAACCUCAGACAGAGAAGAUGGCUUGAGUUGAUUAAAGAUUAUGAUUUGGAAAUACAAUAUCACCCCGGAAAAGCAAAUGUAGUAGCUAAUGCUUUGAGCCGUAAGGGUCAAGUGAACAACAUCACUACUCAUUUGAUGUCACAAGAAUUGUGCUGGGAAAUGGAACGACUCAACCUUGAAUUUCUCAAUAAUGUAGAAGCAACGGUGAUGGAAGUUGAAUCUACUUUGGAAGAAGAGAUUCGUAAAGGACAAGAGUCCGAUGAGAAGAUUAAGGAAAUUAAAACUUUGAUUAGUUUGGGUAAAGCCCCAGAUUUCACGGAAGAUGAACAAGGCACAAUAUGGUUUAAGAAGAGAAUCUGCGUACUAGAAAUUGAGCACUUGCGCCAACUUAUUUUGAGAGAAGCUCAUGAUUCAGCUUACUCUAUUCACCCUGGAAGUACAAAGAUGUACCAGGACCUUAAAGAAAAGUAUUGGUGGUACGGAUUGAAAAGAGAUGUUGCUACUCAUGUUGCAUUAUGUGACGUGUGUCAGCGAGUUAAAGCCGAACACCAAAGACCAGCAGGAUUGCUACAACCUCUCAAGAUACCGGAAUGGAAAUGGGAAGAAAUCAGUAUGGAUUUUAUAGUUGGACUACCCCGUACUCGAGAUGGCUAUGAUUCAAUAUGGGUCAUAGUAGACAGGUUAACUAAAGUAGCACACUUUAUACCUGUGAAGACAACCUACUCAGGAGCCCAGUUAGCAGAGUUGUAGAUGUCGAGGAUUGUUUGUCUGCAUGGAGUACCGAAGAAGAUCGUAUCAGAUCGAGGAACCCAGUUUACCUCACGCUUUUGGAAAAGACUUCAUGAGUCCAUGGAUACCAAGCUAAACUUUAGUUCAGCUUAUCAUCCUCAAACGGAUGGACAAACGGAAAGAACAAACCAAGUGUUGGAAGAUAUGCUAAGAGCUUGCGCUCUAAAGCAUGGUAGAAGCUGGGAUAAAAGCUUGCCUUAUGCAGAAUUUUCGUAUAACAAUAGUUAUCAAGCAAGUCUCAAAAUGGCACCAUUUGAAGCACUCUACGGACGGAAGUGUAGAACACCACUUUAUUGGAAUCAGACUGGAGAAAGUCAAGUAUUUGGUCCAGAGAUUCUCCAAGAGGCGGAAAAGCAAGUGCAAAUUAUCAAAGAAAAUUUGAAGACAGCACAGUCAAGAUAGAAAAGCUAUGCUGAUAAUAGAAGAAGAGAGUUGAUGUUUGAAGUAGGAGACUUUGUCUACCUUAAAGUUUCACCGAUGAGAGGAAUGAAAAGGUUUAAGGUUAAAGGAAAAUUAUCACCUCGCUAUAUUGGCCCAUUCAAGAUUUUGGAAAGAAAAGGCGAAGUAGCCUAUCAGUUAGAGCUACCUGAUAGUUUAUCAGAUGUGCAUGACGUAUUUCACGUGUCACAACUCAAGAAGUGCUUAAGAGUACCAGAAGAACAGUUACCCAUGGAAGAGCUGAAUGUUAAUGAGGAUUUGACUUAUUCGGAGUACCCGGUCAGAAUUCUGGAAACAUCUCGCAGAAUUACACGGAGUAAAGUCAUUAACAUGUGCAAAGUUCAGUGGAGUCAUCAUUCGGAAGAUGAGGCCACUUGGGAAAGGGAAGAUGAACUCAGAGCAGAAUUCCCUGAGCUAUUCUCAGAAGUUUCUUAAUCUCGAGGACGAGAUUCUUUUUAAGAGGGGUAGGUUUGUAACACCAUAAAAGCUAUCAAUUAAAAUAAUAAAUUUAGAUAUUAUAUUAAUUAGGGUAAUAAUUUUUUUUAGUGUUUAAUUGUUCAUUUGCAUCGUUUUCUUUGCAUGCGCUUGAUUGAUUAUCGGAUGAUUGUUGUUAAUUUCCUUUUAAAAAGAAAUCCUAGUAAUUAAACAAUAAUUAAAAAAUAUAGUAAUCAUUAGUCUAAAAUCAAGUACUCCAUUUAUAAAUAUUUUUGGUAAUUUUUUUAUGAUUUUUAGAGUUCUUUAAAAAUGAAUUUCGGAAUUGAAAAAAAAAACUAAAACCAUCCGGCCGGCCCACGAGGGCCCAUGCCAAACCCUAGCUCCCUAAGCACCACGCGCGCGCCCUGCUGAACUUUCCCAGCCGCCGCCGCCCCAGCAAGUUCCCUCUCUCUCCUCUAUUCUCUCUCUCCCUUCUCUCCUCUCUCUCUCCCAAGCACGCCGCGCCCUCUGCCUCCUCCACGCCGCGCGCGCGCAGCCGCCCACGCGCCUGCCACCCGAGCCGGCCAAGCCGCUGAAGCUCCCUGCCGCGACGCUUCCGCGCGAGCGACCGAGCGCGACGCGCGAGCUGCCGCGCCGACCUGCCCAGCCCGCGUUCAACCACGCCGCACGCCCAGCCGUGACUCGACCGACCGCCGCGACGACCCAAGCCGACUGCCUGUUGCUGAAACCGUCGUCCGUUCGUUUAUGCGCGUGGUUAAUUCAUCGUGUUAAUGAGAUUGAUUCUUCCGUUUCUUCCUCCUCCCAUUAUUUCUCUCCUUGAAACCGACGCCAUUAAGCAGUGUAAUGGAGUUAAACGCCGACCGUUCCCUCCCUGGUCGACCCUCCCUCUCCUCUCCCUUCUCUAUAAAUUGAACGCAGAGCUCUCUCUCCAUUCUUCCCUACCCGAGCUCGCCCCAUCUUUCUAGCUCUCCUCGCUCGCCAGUACACUGCUCGACGUUGCCGUUCGUUACCGUUCGUCGCCGGAGUUCGUCGCUCGUUGCCGGAGCCCGUGGAGUUCGUCGGAGUGUGCCGUUCGUCGCCGGAGUUCACCGGAGCCACGUACUCGCUGUCCGUAGUCAAGCCCCGCUCUCCGUUCGGUCGAAACCCGUCGAUCCAUCCCCGUCACACGCACGAACCCGAGGUUGAUGACGACCCAAAUUUAUUUUAUGUAUUUUAUAAAGUGCUUUCGAUUCGAUUCAUGUGUUGUAUAGUUUGUUUGUUGUAUGAACACAUGUGAGUCGCGACAUUAUGUAUAUGUGUAUGAGCGUUAUGGAAUUGUUUGGUAGUUUCAAGCGAUUAUUCGUAUAUCGUGUUAUUCCAUGUUAAUCGAUGCGUUGAUUUUGGUUUAGAGAAAUAUGACGUAGAUUUAAUAGUCACACGUUGGUGAUAAAAAUACUAGAUAAGAAUUUAUAGUCAAUUUUGGUCACGAUAAAUUCUGGAAACUAUUUGGAGAAUUAUAGGUGCAUUUUCGAUGGAUUAGAAAAUGGUAUAGAACUCAUGUCAUUUGAUUAAUAUAGGAUUUUAGAUGAUUUAUCUAAUUAUUUUAUUAGCAUAUUUUUUUAUAAAAAAAGGAGAAAAUAUCAUUGGUAGAUGGCAAAAUAGGUUUUUGCUAGUCAAAUAAACAUGUUCACAGAUUUAGAACUUAAAAUUGUUAGAGUACUAGUUUAUGUCAAAUAACCUCGCUUGUGUUAGAAAAUAUUCAAUUAGUAGUUUAUGUAGAUUUUUAGAAUAUUAAUAUUAUUAAAUUCAUUCUUGCUAUACUAACUAAUUUGAGUUAGAAGGAAUAAAAGGUAUUAAUUUAUUUAUUAGUGUUAAAAGACAAUAAAUAUUAUUUAUUUUUAUUAAUGAUGUUAAAAUAUAUUUAAACUAUAUUUAUUACACCACUCAUAAAUUCACCAUUAGGAUUCACAUUAAUGGCUAUAAUUGAAUUAAUAAGUACUUACGCGAUUAGUACGUAAUUAAGAUGUGAUUAGUGCGACGUGUUAAUGUGCAUGUAAUGGUGUAUGUUUAUGAAAUGGUGCAUGUUUAUUUAUUUGUGUAUGUUUUAUUUUUGUAUGUACGAUAUGCGACUCUAUUAGAAGCCGAUUGUGCGGUAGGCAAUUCGAAUACGUUCGAGGACGAUCCGCAAGACGCUUUUGAGCAAGGCAAGUGGAUUCUCCCUCUGCAUACUCUUUUUGUACCCAGUCAUUGCAUUUAAUAAUGUUUACUUUUGAUAUACUGCAUAAUUUGAUGGGUUUCACCUAAUUAAGGAUUUCCUAGAUUUACUACCUGUAUUCCUUGUUUAACCUGGGGAAAUAAUUAAGCUGUGCAAGAUUUAUGCUACCGCUCAACUUAAUGAUUUAUUAAUGUCACUCAUUAAUUGGUUUUAAUGUUCCAAAGAUUUAAUUGGCAAUUAUGGCAUUAACCCGAUGGUUAAAGAUAACUUUAUUACAAAUUAAUUGGAACAUGGAGUGACCACCCAGGAUAACAGUGCAACCACGAGUGCUAUCAUGGCUCUGGCUUUGGUAAAUAGCUCUAUAUGCUUAGUGCCUAGCAACCUUACCUGAAAGAUGGGCAAGAGGGGGAGCGGUAGGUGCUGGCAGCCCACGUUAACAUGGGGUCGUAUUCUUGGCUAAGGUACUUCACCCAGGGGGCCACCACCAUCGUCUUUAGAAACCUUAGCGGGUUGCUUCGUAUUAAGCGUAUUUUGUGAAAACCUCAUAAUGGAUCCCUAGCCAUUCACCUCGGCAGUGUUUAAGGGUCCGAUCAACCCGAGCUAGAUGGGAUACAUGGCUUGUGGGUAAAGUUGUACCACCUCUGCAGAGUGUAAAACUGAUAUAUCAAGAAUUGUGCUGGGAAUUGGAACGACUCAACCUUGAAUUUCUCAAUAAUGUAGAAGCAACGGUGAUGGAAGUUGAAUCUACUUUGGAAGAAGAGAUUCGUAAAGGACAAGAGUCCGAUGAGAAGAUUAAGGAAAUUAAAACUUUGAUUAGUUUGGGUAAAGCCCCAGAUUUCACGGAAGAUGAACAAGGCACAAUAUGGUUUAAGAAGAGAAUCUGCGUACUAGAAAUUGAGCACUUGCGCCAACUUAUUUUGAGAGAAGCUCAUGAUUCAGCUUACUCUAUUCACCCUGGAAGUACAAAGAUGUACCAGGACCUUAAAGAAAAGUAUUGGUGGUACGGAUUGAAAAGAGAUGUUGCUACUCAUGUUGCAUUAUGUGACGUGUGUCAGCGAGUUAAAGCCGAACACCAAAGACCAGCAGGAUUGCUACAACCUCUCAAGAUACCGGAAUGGAAAUGGGAAGAAAACAGUAUGGAUUUUAUAGUUGGACUACCCCGUACUCGAGAUGGCUAUGAUUCAAUAUGGGUCAUAGUAGACAGGUUAACUAAAGUAGCACACUUUAUACCUGUGAAGACAACCUACUCAGGAGCCCAGUUAGCAGAGUUGUAGAUGUCGAGGAUUGUUUGUCUGCAUGGAGUACCGAAGAAGAUCGUAUCAGAUCGAGGAACCCAGUUUACCUCACGCUUUUGGAAAAGACUUCAUGAGUCCAUGGAUACCAAGCUAAACUUUAGUUCAGCUUAUCAUCCUCAAACGGAUGGGCAAACGGAAAGAACAAACCAAGUGUUGGAAGAUAUGCUAAGAGCUUGCGCUCUAAAGCAUGGUAGAAGCUGGGAUAAAAGCUUGCCUUAUGCAGAAUUUUCGUAUAACAAUAGUUAUCAAGCAAGUCUCAAAAUGGCACCAUUUGAAGCACUCUACGGACGAAAGUGUAGAACACCACUUUAUUGGAAUCAGACUGGAGAAAGUCAAGUAUUUGGUCCAGAGAUUCUCCAAGAGGCGGAAAAGCAAGUGCAAAUUAUCAAAGAAAAUUUGAAGACAGCACAGUCAAGACAGAAAAGCUAUGCUGAUAAUAGAAGAAGAGAGUUGAUGUUUGAAGUAGGAGACUUUGUCUACCUUAAAGUUUCACCGAUGAGAGGAAUGUAAAGGUUUAAGGUUAAAGGAAAAUUAUCACCUCGCUAUAUUGGCCCAUUCAAGAUUUUGGAAAGAAAAGGCGAAGUAGCCUAUCAGUUAGAGCUACCUGAUAGUUUAUCAGAUGUGCAUGACGUAUUUCACGUGUCACAACUCAAGAAGUGCUUAAGAGUACCAGAAGAACAGUUACCCAUGGAAGAGCUGAAUGUUAAUGAGGAUUUGACUUAUUCGGAGUACCCGGUCAGAAUUCUGGAAACAUCUCGCAGAAUUACACGGAGUAAAGUCAUUAACAUGUGCAAAGUUCAGUGGAGUCAUCAUUCGGAAGAUGAGGCCACUUGGGAAAGGGAAGAUGAACUCAGAGCAGAAUUCCCUGAGCUAUUCUCAGAAGUUUCUUAAUCUCGAGGACGAGAUUCUUUUUAAGAGGGGUAGGUUUGUAACACCAUAAAAGCCAUCAAUUAAAAUAAUAAAUUUAGAUAUUAUAUUAAUUAGGGUAAUAAUUUUUUUUCGUGUUUAAUUGUUCAUUUGCAUCGUUUUCUUUGCAUGCGCUUGAUUGAUUAUCGGAUGAUUGUUGUUAAUUUCCUUUUAAAAAGAAAUCCUAGUAAUUAAACAAUAAUUAAAAAAUAUAGUAAUCAUUAGUCUAAAAUCAAGUACUCCAUUUAUAAAUAUUUUUGGUAAUUUUUUAUGAUUUUUAGAGUUCUUUAAAAAUGAAUUUCGGAAUUGAAAAAAAAAACUAAAACCAUCCGGCCGGCCCACCAGGGCCCAUGCCAAACCCUAGCUCCCUAAGCACCACGCGCGCGCCCUGCUGAACUUUCCCAGCCGCCGCCGCCCCAGCAAGUUCCCUCUCUCUCCUCUAUUCUCUCUCUCCCUUCUCUCCUCUCUCUCUCCCAAGCACGCCGCGCCCUCUGCCUCCUCCCAGGCGCCUGCCACCCGAGCCGGCCAAGCCGCUGAAGCUCCCUGCCGCGACGCUUGCGCGCGAGCGACCGAGCGCGACGCGCGAGCUGCCGCGCCGACCUGCCCAGCCCGCGUUCAACCACGCCGCACGCCCGGCCGUGACUCGACCGACCGCCGCGACGACCCAAGCCGACUGCCCGUUGCUGAAACCGCCGUCCAUUCGUUUAUGCGCGUGGUUAAUUCAUCGUGUUAAUGAGAUUGAUUCUUCCGUUUCUUCCUCCUCCCAUUAUUUCUCUCCUUGAAACCGACGCCAUUAAGCAGUGUAAUGGAGUUAAACGCCGACCGUUCCCUCCCUGGCCGACCCUCCCUCUCCUCUCCCUUCUCUAUAAAUUGAACGCAGAGCUCUCUCUCCAUUCUUCCCUACCCGAGCUCGCCCCAUCUUUCUAGCUCUCCUCGCUCGCCAGUACACUGCUCGACGUUACCGUUCGUUACCGUUCGUCGCCGGAGUUCGUCGCUCGUUGCCGGAGCCCGUGGAGUUCGCCGGAGUGUGCCGUUCGUCGCCGGAGUUCACCGGAGCCACGUACUCGCUGUCCGUAGUCAAGCCCCGCUCUCCGUUCGGUCGAAACCCGUCGAUCCAUCCCCGUCACACGCACGAACCCGAGGUUGAUGACGACCCAAAUUUAUUUUAUGUAUUUUAUAAAGUGCUUUCGAUUCGAUUCAUGUGUUGUAUAGUUUGUUUGUUGUAUGAACACAUGUGAGUCGCGACAUUAUGUAUAUGUGUAUGAGCGUUAUGGAAUUGUUUGGUAGUUUCAAGCGAUUAUUCGUAUAUCGUGUUAUUCCAUGUUAAUCGAUGCGUUGAUUUUUGUUUAGAGAAAUAUGACGUAGAUUUAAUUGUCACACGUUGGUGAUAAAAAUACUAGAUAAGAAUUUAUAGUCAAUUUUGGUCACGAUAAAUUCUGGAAACUAUUUGGAGAAUUAUAGGUGCAUUUUCGAUGGAUUAGAAAAUAGUAUAGAACUCAUGUCAUUUGAUUAAUAUAGGAUUUUAGAUGAUUUAUCUAAUUAUUUUAUUAGCAUAUUUUUUUAUAAAAAAAGGAGAUGGCAAAAUAGGUUUUUGCUAGUCAAAUAAACAUGUUCACAGAUUUAGAACUUAAAAUUGUUAGAGUACUAGUUUAUGUCAAAUAACCUCGCUUGUGUUAGAAAAUAUUCAAUUAGUAGUUUAUGUAGAUUUUUAGAAUAUUAAUAUUAUUAAAUUCAUUCUUGCUAUACUAACUAAUUUGAGUUAGAAGGAAUAAAAGGUAUUAAUUUAUUUAUUAGUGUUAAAAGACAAUAAAUAUUAUUUAUUUUUAUUAAUGAUGUUAAAAUAUAUUUAAACUAUAUUUAUUACACCACUCAUAAAUUCACCAUUAGGAUUCACAUUAAUGGCUAUAAUUGAAUUAAUAAGUACUUACGCGAUUAGUACGUAAUUAAGAUGUGAUUAGUGCGACGUGUUAAUGUGCAUGUAAUGGUGUAUGUUUAUGAAAUGGUGCAUGUUUAUUUAUUUGUGUAUGUUUUAUUUUUGUAUGUACGAUAUGCGACUCUAUUAGAAGCCGAUUGUGCGGUAGGCAAUUCGAAUACGUUCGAGGACGAUCCGCAAGACGCUUUUGAGCAAGGCAAGUGGAUUCUCCCUCUGCAUACUCUUUUUGUACCCAGUCAUUGCAUUUAAUAAUGUUUACUUUUGAUAUACUGCAUAAUUUGAUGGGUUUCACCUAAUUAAGGAUUUCCUAGAUUUACUACCUGUAUUCCUUGUUUAACCUGGGGAAAUAAUUAAGCUGUGCAAGAUUUAUGCUACCGCUCAACUUAAUGAUUUAUUAAUGUCACUCAUUAAUUGGUUUUAAUGUUCCAAAGAUUUAAUUGGCAAUUAUGGCAUUAACCCGAUGGUUAAAGAUAACUUUAUUACAAAUUAAUUGGAACAUGGAGUGACCACCCAGGAUAACAGUGCAACCACGAGUGCUAUCAUGGCUCUGGCUUUGGUAAAUAGCUCUAUAUGCUUAGUGCCUAGCAACCUUACCUGAAAGAUGGGCAAGAGGGGGAGCGGUAGGUGCUGGCAGCCCACGUUAACAUGGGGUCGUAUUCUUGGCUAAGGUACUUCACCCAGGGGGCCACCACCAUCGUCUUUAGAAACCUUAGCGGGUUGCUUCGUAUUAAGCGUAUUUUGUGAAAACCUCAUAAUGGAUCCCUAGCCAUUCACCUCGGCAGUGUUUAAGGGUCCGAUCAACCCGGGCUAGAUGGGAUACAUGGCUUGUGGGUAAAGUUGUACCACCUCUGCAGAGUGUAAAACUGAUAUAUCAGCCGUGCUCCCGGUUAUGAGCGACCUGGACUCCUCACAUGAUAAUUGAACUUGAAGAUGGAAUUAAAUUGAGAUCAGAUGAUCUGCCAAUAAUUUGCUUAAGUGGUUUCACUUAAGUGUUUUUGUUAUAUUCAUAUUCCUUUGUUUUAAUGGGAUAUAUGGGAUUCACACUUAUUAGUAAGACAGGUGUUGUUAAUAAAAUGUUGACCAAUUAAAAUGCUUACUGCUCAACCUUAGCCUCACCUUGUUAUACCUGCAUUAGUUUUUCCCCCACUUGCUGAGCCCCGACCAUAAGUGAGCUCACCCUUGCUUAAUUUUGAUCAGAGGGUGAUGCUGGAGACUUUGAUGGAGAUUUUAUCGACGACGAUGAUUUCUAAGUCUAACGAUGCGCCGGUCAUCUUCCUGUGGGAGAUUGCCCAGUUGUUUAUUUCCGCUUACUUUGAUGUGAUACUUGUUCAAGAUACAAUGAUGCAGAUGAUGUAAUAAAGUAUUAUACUCUCUCUUUACGCCUUUAUUGCAUUGUCUUUUGAUAUAUUACACUUGUGACGUCAACAUAUGUGUGAAAAUGGAUCCUGACACACAUAUGGUAUGCGCUCGGUUCUACCCCCUGGAACCGGGUGUGACACAUUGUAUUCACACUAGAGGGUAUUAGAGUAUAACUAGUGGAUGAAGAAGUUAUUGGGCUAGCUAAUGACCUUUUGUGAUACCAGGUUUCCAAUAAUCACCUCUAUUCAAGGCAUACCUAAAUGGUGUUUAUGUCCACUCAAGUAAAACAUCGCACAUCAUUAUACCACAUCGUUUCUCAAAAUAAAAUAAAGACCAUGGGAAAUUUAGCCAAAUUGCACGAGAGAACUGUCCAAACAUAGGUUAAGGUUGUAAGACACCUUUUUCCACCAUACAGUUGCUAAAAAGUUGGAAUAUAAAGAAUUCAAAACAAUAUAUCACCUUUUAAACCUCAAAUGAUGUUUCUAUGAUAUUGUGGGCAUUGUAUUCGCACGAGAGGGUAUUAGAGUACAACUAGUGGAUGAAGACGUUAUUGGGCUAGCUAAUGACCUUUUAUGAUACCUGGUUUCCAAUAAUCCCGUCUAUGUUUCGACAGUUCACUCACGCAAUUUGGCUAAAUUUUCCAUAGUCUUUAUUUUAUUCUGAGAAACGAUGUGGUAUAUUGAUGUGUGGUGUUUACUUGAGUGGACAUAAACACAAUCUAAGGAUGCGAGAGGGUAUUAGAGUACAACUAGUGGAUGAAGACGUUAUUGGGCUAGCUAAUGACCUUUUGUGAUACCUGGUUUCUAAUAUGUUAACUAUGGUCACUCAAGUAUUCACACGAGUGGGUAUUAGAGUACAACUAGUGGAUGAAGACAUUAGUGGGCUAGCUAAUGACCUUUUGUGAUAAUAUGUUAACUAUAAUCCCGUCUAUUCAUGGCAUCCUUAGACGGUGUUUAUGUCCACUCAAGUAAUGACCUUUUGUGAUAAUAUGUUAACUAUAAUCCCGUCUAUUCAUGGCAUCCUUAGAUUGUGUUUAUGUCCACUCAAGUAAAACACCACACAUCAAUAUACCACAUCGUUUCUCAAAAUAAAAUAAAGACUAUGGAUUGUGAUACCUGGUUUCCACCCAUAAACCAGGUAUCACAAAAGGUCAUUAGCUAGCCCAAUAACGUCUUCAUCCACUAGUUGUACUCUAAUACCCUCUAGUGUGAAUACAAUGCCCUCAAUAUCAUAGAAACGUCAUUUGAGGUUUAAAAGGUGAUCUAUUGUUUUGAAUUCUUUAUAUUCCAACUUUUUA